rnacentral:rRNA from 1 species
UGCGGUUAGGAGCAAAUAUCCAUAGACCCGCAGAUAUCCGAAUGGGGAAACCCGGUACGGCAAUACCGUAUCACUGCAUGGUAAAUACAUAGCCAUGUGGAGGAAACCCUCUGAACUGAAACAUCUAAGUAGGAGGAGGAAGAGAAAGAAACAUCGAUUUCCUAAGUAGCGGCGAGCGAAAGGGAAAGAGGCCAAACCAGAGAUAGCAAUAUCUUUGGGGUUGCGGACUGCAUAAUUGAUUUAACAUCUUUAGCAGAAGUGUAUGGGAAGACACACCAUAGUAGGUAAUAGUCCUGUAAGCGAAAGGGAUGUUAACAUGGCAGGAUCCAGAGUACCACCGGACACGAGGAACCCGGUGGGAAGCCGGGGGGACCACCCCCCAAGCCUAAAUACUACCUGAUGACCGAUAGUGAAAAGUACAGUGAUGGAAAGUUGAAAAGAACCCCGGAAGGGGAGUGAAAAAGAAUCUGAAACCCUAUGUUUACAAGCUGCUAGAGCACCUUAUGAGUGCAAUAGCGUACUUUUUGUAGAACGGUCCGGCGAGUGUAUGUUGCAAGCGAGGUUAAGGUGUUAAGCACUGAAGCCGAAGGGAGACCGAGUGUGAAUAGCGCGUACAGUUUGCAGUAUACGACCCGAAACCGGGUGACCUAACCAUGGACAGGUUGAAGUGGAAGUAAAAUUCCAUGGAGGACCGAACCCACGUCUGUUGAAAAAGGCGGGGAUGAGCUGUGGUUAGCGGUGAAAUUCCAAUCGAACUCGGAUAUAGCUGGUUCUCAUCGAAAUAGCUUUAGGGCUAGCCUCAGGAUAGUUUAGCGGAGGUAAAGCACUGAAUGGGCUAGGGGGCUUCACGGCUUACCGAACCCUAUCAAACUCUGAAUGCCGCAUAAAUGUUUCCUGGGAGUCAGACUGCGUGAGAUAAGUUUCGUAGUCAAAAGGGAAAGAGCCCAGACCUACAGCUAAGGUCCCUAAAUGAAUUUAAGUGGAAAAGGAUGUGCAGUUGCGUAGACAACUAGGACGUUGGCUUAGAAGCAGCCACUCAUUUAAAGAGUGCGUAAUAGCUCACUAGUCGAGUGAUUGUGCGCCGAAAAUGUAACGGGGCUAAAAUUCAUACCGAAGCUUAGGAAUGAUAGUAAUAUUGUUGGUAGAUGAGCGUUGUGUAAGUCUGCGAAGCUACACCGAAAGGAGUAGUGGAGAUAUCACAAGUGAGAAUGCCGGAAUGAGUAGCGAGAAUUAUGUGAGAAUCAUAAUGGCCGAAAAUCUAAGGUUUCUUGAGGAAGGUUCGUCCGCUCAAGGUAAGCCGGGAGCUAAGGCGAGGCCGAGAGGCGUAGUCGAUGCACAUACGGUAAAGAUUCCGUAGCCACCGAAGUCGUUAAAUACAGGGACACAGGAACAUAGCCUAACCCCACCGUUGGUUGAGUGGGGCGUAAGGGAGCGAAAAUUAGUAGCGAAGUAGGUGAUUGUACACUGGCGAGAAAAGCUGUAUGAAUUGACCAGGUGCCCGUACCGCAAACCGACACAGGUAGAUGAGGAGAGAAUCCUAAGACCAGCGGGAGAAGUGUUGUUAAGGAACUCGGCAAAAUGACCCCGUAACUUCGGGAUAAGGGGAGCCUACGCGAGUAGGCCGCAGAGAAUAGUCUCAAGCGACUGUUUAGCAAAAACACAGGUCUAUGCUAAAUCGAAAGAUGAUGUAUAUGGGCUGACGCCUGCCCGGUGCUGGAAGGUUAAGGGGAAGUGUUAGAGCAAUCGAAGCACUGAACUUAAGCCCCAGUAAACGGCGGCCGUAACUAUAACGGUCCUAAGGUAGCGAAAUUCCUUGUCAGGUAAGUUCUGACCCGCACGAAUGGCGUAACGACUUGAGAGCUGUCUCAACAACAUACCCGGCGAAAUUGAAGUACUGGUAAAGAUGCCAGUUACCCGUGAUAAGACGGAAAGACCCCAUGGAGCUUUACUGUAACUUGAUAUUGAAUUUUUGUAUUACAUGUACAGGAUAGGUGGGAGACAGAGAACUAAUGCCGCCAGGUGUUAGGGAGUCGAUGUUGGGAUACCACUCUUGUAAUAUGAAGGUUCUAACCUGCACCCGUGAAUCCGGGUGGGGGACACUGUCAGGUGGACAGUUUGACUGGGGCGGUCGCCUCCUAAAAGGUAACGGAGGCGUUCAAAGGUUGGUUCAGCACGGACGGAAAUCGUGCAACGAGUGCAAACGCAUAAACCAGCCUAACUGCGAGACCGACAAGUCGAGCAGUAACGAAAGUUGGAGUUAGUGAUCCGGCG